GAGUUUGAUCAUGGCUCAGAUUGAACGCUGGCGGCAUGCCUUACACAUGCAAGUCGAACGGCAGCACGGGAGCUUGCUCCUGGUGGCGAGUGGCGAACGGGUGAGUAAUGCAUCGGAACGUAUCCUGGAGUGGGGGAUAACGUAGCGAAAGUUACGCUAAUACCGCAUAUUCUGUGAGCAGGAAAGCGGGGGACCUUCGGGCCUCGCGCUCUUGGAGCGGCCGAUGUCGGAUUAGCUAGUUGGUGAGGUAAAGGCGUCACCAAGGCGACGAUCCGUAGCAGGUCUGAGAGGAUGAUCUGCCACACUGGAACUGAGACACGGUCCAGACUCCUACGGGAGGCAGCAGUGGGGAAUUUUGGACAAUGGGGGCAACCCGUGAUCCAGCCAUGCCGCGUGAGUGAAG
rnacentral:rRNA from 1 species